UCCUUUAUAGAUGCUGGGAUUGUACUGUUAUGAAUAUGGAUGUGCAAAUAUGCCUUUGAGAGCCUGAUUUUAAUUCUUAUGGAUAAAUAUCCAGAAGAGGGAUUGCUGCAUCAUAUGCAACCCCAUGAGGUCGGUAAUGCUAUGACAAUCACUGCCAUUUCAUUGGUGAGGAAGUUGAAGCAAAUAAAGUCUAAGUAACUUGUCCAGCCCCACAUCAUUAUGUAGUGGUUUCUCAGAGGCUUGAAUCAAGGCCAUCUGGAUCCAGAGUGCCAGCUCUUAACCACCACGUUAUGCUGACUCUUCUAUUUGGGGUAUUUUAAACAUGGAACCAGUGUUCUAAAAAAAAAGCUGCAAAUGAAUGAAAUAGUAUGUGAGAAACCUGAUCAAUUCAAAUUUUUUGAAUAAAACUAAUGAAUUAAUAAAGAGAUGUUAAUUUUUAGAGCUUCCUGUAUUGAUUUUAUGUAUUUAUUUCACAAAUUAAUUUUUGA